rnacentral:snoRNA from 1 species
AGCUUUGCACAAGAAGAGAAAACUCACAGAACUAGCACUAUUUUACGCUCUGUCUUUACAGAGGUGUAUCUGGCUGUUUUGUCAGACAUUC